CUAUCUCAAGCAAGGAGUGGCUCUGUUUUAUAAUUCUUUAGCAUUUGCUACUGUGCUGCCUCUGGGACUGGACUGGGUCAUUAUGUCAUUACCCAGCCACUGCUGAGUCAGUCUAUGGGGGCCCUGCAUUGCCAAGAAAGGCUCUGGCCCCAAUGGUAGAUUCCCUGUUGACACACCUCACUGACAUGGUCACUAAAAAUGUCAACUAUAUUCAUAAAUGGGUCAGAGGGUAACAGCAUUUAAAAGCAUACAUUGGAAGCCUCUAAUAAUCUAUUAAAUCCCUUGAUUGAGAUGACAGUUUUAUUUCCUGAGGCUUCUUUUGUCCAAUUGCUAUGUAAUUACUGGUUAGAGCUCUUGAAGAGAACAGUGUUUCCCAAACCUUAGUUUUUGUCAUUUAUGGGAAGAGAAAGGAAAGCUUGCUUAAACAGGGAGCAGUGGAAAGAAAGAGCAUAGGCCUGAGAACUGAUGGACCAAGUCCAAAUCUCUGCUUCACUUUUUCUUUUAUUAGCAUUUUGAUUUAGGAUUCCCUAAGCCUCAGUUUCCUUAUUUGUACAGUGAUCACUUCUUAGGGUUAUUGGGAUGAAAUCACAUGAGUAGGAAGUGCCUGGUCAGUGCUUGUUAUCUAAUUCCCUCCUCAUUAAUGUUACUGUCCCCCUGAGUCCUCCCCAGAUGGCCUUACCUCCUUGCCCUGUCCCUGUAACUACUGUAGAGCUGGGUAUUUGCACUUCUUUCUUGUCAUUUCUACCUUCCUCACCAAGACAGAUUUAUUUCUUUUAGUGUUUUGUGUGUGUGUGUGUGUGUGAGAGAGAAGUGGGAGGUAAGGAUGAAAAAAGGUUCUAGAAGGGAUUCAGAUUACCUAGGGGAGAGAGCAAUGGCAUUAGAGGUAGAUGUGGACCUUAAUCUUUUUUGUGUCCAGUUAUUCCCAGCUGUGUAGCCUUGGACAAGUUACUUAGCCUUCUCGAGCCUCUGUUUCUUCAUCUGUAAGGAUGAUGUGUUAUUGUGAAAAUUACAUGAUAGCACCUGUGUAACACCUAAUGCGGUGGCCAGAGCAUGGUGCUCAGGGGCUGCUGAAUUCCCUGGGCCAGCUUCGUGCGGCAAAAGUGUGCUUGCUGCUCCCACUUCACUCCAUGGCCAUCACCUUACACAUACUCAUAAUCAUGCUUCCUUCAGGGGUACUGCUAUUUGAUUUCUAAAAAUCGUUUUAAGCCCUUUAGAAAAUGAAAUCUGCUAUUUGUAUUUUAAAACAUCCAACAUAUUUUGUAUGUCACAGUGCUCUGCUUUCAUGAAAAUUUAUGAUACUGAUCCUCAAAUUGAGGCACUUAAUGCCAGGUGAUGAACUUCAG
rnacentral:lncRNA from 1 species